CCUACGGGGGGCAGCAGUGAGGAAUAUUGGUCAAUGGGCGAGAGCCUGAACCAGCCAAGUCGCGUGAGGGAGUACUGCCCUAUGGGUUGUAAACCUCUUUUGUCGGGGAGCAAAAGCCGGACGUGUCCGGCUGUGAGAGUACCCGAAGAAAAAGCAUCGGCUAACUCCGUGCCAGCAGCCGCGGUAAUACGGAGGAUGCGAGCGUUAUCCGGAUUUAUUGGGUUUAAAGGGUGCGUAGGCGGUCCGUUAAGUCAGCGGUAAAAUUGCGGGGCUCAACCCCGUCGAGCCGUUGAAACUGGCAGACU
rnacentral:rRNA from 1 species